AUUGAACGCCGGCGGCAUGCCCUACACAUGCAAGUCGAACGGUAACAGGUCUUCGGAUGCUGACGAGUGGCGAACGGGUGAGUAAUACAUCGGAACGUGCCUAGUAGUGGGGGAUAACUACUCGAAAGAGUGGCUAAUACCGCAUGAGAUCUACGGAUGAAAGCAGGGGAUCGCAAGACCUUGUGCUACUAGAGCGGCCGAUGGCAGAUUAGGUAGUUGGUGGGAUAAAAGCUUACCAAGCCGACGAUCUGUAGCUGGUCUGAGAGGACGAUCAGCCACAAUGGGACUGAGAAACGGCCCAGACUCCUACGGGAGGCAGCAGUGGGGAAUUUUGGACAAUGGGCGCAAGCCUGAUCCAGCAAUGCCGCGUGCAGGAUGAAGGCCUUCGGGUUGUAAACUGCUUUUGUACGGAACGAAAAGCCCCGGGUUAAUACCCUGGGGUCAUGACGGUACCGUAAGAAUAAGCACCGGCUAACUACGUGCCAGCCGCCGCUGUAA
rnacentral:rRNA from 1 species